rnacentral:lncRNA from 1 species
UGGAGUUGAAAAAUCAGCCUUUCUUUCAUGGUUUAUAAUAGCAUUUCCACCGGUUAGCCUUUUACUAUGGCAAGGGAAGCUUUAGGGCAGCAACUAUUCACGUAAAUAAUGGCUGUCCUAGCCUCCUAGCAAAGUGUGUUUUCAGCAGUUUAGGCUUGCCAUAGCAAAUAAUAUUAAUUUUUUUGUUUUUUCACAACUUUGUUUACUUAAACAAUUAAUUCGGAUAAAAUUUUUGGGUUCCUACGCGUACAUACUAUUCAUAUCGAAUAAGAUUUUCGGUUUCAAAUUUCAGAUACAUUUCAAAAUUCAAAUUUUAGAUGGAUUUCGAAAUUCUAUCUGUCUAAAUUUUUCUAUAAAACCAGAGGCUCAGCUCAUACUUCCCACACCAGAUUUUCUCUACAUUUCCAUUUCUCAUAUUUUAGAUUUCAUUCUCCAUUUUCAAUGACAGACAUGCAAGAAGUUUUAGAGAGGCAAGAGCGAGAAAUGAGAGAAAAAAUGCGUCGACGAGCUGAAAGCAAAAGGGGGCAGAGAGAACUAGAUGAGCAACUUGGCAUGGCCAUUGCCUUGCUGGAGGAAGAAAACCAGAGCCGCCGUGGUUCAUGAGAAGGCUGCGCCCCGAAUGUGGAUAGACAUAGACAUUCUCGAGGUAAGAAUCUUCUAGAACCACAUUCUCUGUACUCUGAUGUUCAUUUUCGAGCGAGAUAUAGAAUGCAACCUCAUUUGUUCAAUAAAGUCAUGCAUGAUAGUUGUAAUUAUGAUGAAUACUUUGUUCAAAAGAAAAAUUGUGCUGGAAAUUUGAGGCUUCUUCCCGAGCAAAAGUUCACAGCUGUAAUACGAAUGUUGGCUUAUGAGUCAUCUACUGAUCAGGUGGAUGAGAUUGCCCAGAUGGAGAAGUCCACUAUUUUGGAGAGCUUGGUGCGAUUUUGUGAUGCAGUGAAAACUCUAUAUACCAGGGAUUAUGCAGACCUACGCUCAGGGACCUGCAACGGCUUCUAAAAAAAGCUGAGUCUCGUGGAUUUCCUGGAAUGAUUGGUAGCAUUGACUGCAUGCACUAGUAAUGAAAAAAUUGUCCAACUGCUUGGCAAGAGGAUUAUGGCAAUCGAAAAGGGCAGAAAAGCAUCAUCCUCGAAGCAGUUGCUGGUUUUGAUACAUGGGUUUGGCACGCCUUCUUUGGAGUUGCCGGCUCUCAAAACCAUUUGAACGUCCUGGGUCAAUCCCCGGUGUUCAAUGAUGUUUAGAGAGGUGAAGGCCCAAAUAUCACAUAUCAAAUCAAUAAUACCGUCUACCAGAAGGGGUAUUAUCUAGCUGAUGGUAUCUACCUGAGGUGGACAACAUUUGUGAAAUCAAUUCCACAUCCCCGAUCCCAUAAGGAAAUUUUUUUUGCUACCUAUCAAGAGGGGUACAUAAAGGAUGUGGAGAGGUGCUUUGGUAUCCUUCAAGCCCGGUGGGCUAUUAUCAGUGGUGCGGCGCGUCUAUUUGACGAGGAGGUGCUUAGGAGUAUAAUGAUGACUUGUAUCAUCCUCUACAACAUGAUUGUGGAAGAUGAGUAUGAUUACGAUGUUGAUGAAGUGUAUGAACCAAAUCCCAUGAACACGGCCUUAACACGAAUUUAUGAAAAACCCAUGGGGCCAAAUGGAAAACCAGUGCAGCAUGAUCCGUUGGUUAGAGACGGUAGUUUCUUGCCUCGUAUGAUUGAGCGCUACACGGAGAUGCAAUCGUCGUAUAUUCAUGAACAACGUCAAGUUGACUUGAUGGAGCAUUUGUGGGCGGUGAAAGGCAAUAAAGGUGAAUGAAGUGAAGUGAAGAUGUUUUUUUUAAUGUAUUAUGUUUAUGUUGUAUUUUUAGUUAUGCUUUAUUGUAUUUUUAUGCUUUAAUUGUGGUUUGAUUAUUUUUUAUGCUUUGGUUAUGGUUUGCUUUUAUGUAUGGAAUG